rnacentral:rRNA from 1 species
CGGGGUGCAGCAGGCGCGAAAACUUUACAAUGCUGGCAACAGCGAUAAGGGGACCUUGAGUGCCAGGAUACAAUCCUGGCUGUCCUGAUGCCUAAAAAGCAUUAUAUAGCAAGGGCCGGGCAAGACCGGUGCCAGCCGCCGCGGUAACACCGGCGGCUCGAGUGGUAACCGAUAUUAUUGGGUCUAAAGGGUCUGUAGCCGGCUUGGCUAGUCUCUUGGGAAAUCCGGCAGCUUAACUGUCGGGCUUUCAGGAGAUACUGCCAGGCUCGAGACCGGGAGAGGUGAGAGGUACUUCAUGGGUAGGGGUGAAAUCUUGUAAUCCUUGAAGGACCACCAGUGGCGAAGGCGUCUCACCAGAACGGAUCUGACGGCAAGGGACGAAAGCUAGGGGCACGAACCGGAUUAGAUACCCGGGUAGUCCUAGCCGUAAACGAUACUCGCUAGGUGUCGGCCACGUUGCGACUGUUGUCGGUGCCGUAGGGAAGCCGUGAAGCGAGCCACCUGGGAAGUACGGCCGCAAGGCUGAAACUUAAAGGAAUUGGCGGGGGAGCACAAGGGCGAAUUCGCG